rnacentral:rRNA from 1 species
UACGGAGGGCGCAAGCGUUGUUCGGAAUUACUGGGCGUAAAGCGCGUGUAGGCGGUCGAGCAAGUAAGAUGUGAAAGCCUUCCGCUUAACGGAAGAAGUGCAUUUGAAACUACUCGGCUGGAGUACGGGAGAGGAGAGUGGAAUUCCCGGUGUAUAGGUGAAAUUCGUAGAUAUCGGGAGGAACACCAGUGGCGAAAGCGGCUCUCUGGUCCGAUACUGACGCUGAUACGCGAAAUCGUGGGGAGCAAACAGG